rnacentral:rRNA from 1 species
UACGUAGGGUGCAAGCGUUAAUCGGAAUUACUGGGCGUAAAGCGUGCGUAGGCGGUUCGUUAAGUCAGCUGUGAAAGCCCCGGGCUCAACCUGGGAAUUGCGGUUGAAACUGGCGAACUAGAAUCUGGCAGAGGGGGGGUGGAAUUCCACGUGUAGCAGUGAAAUGCGUAGAGAUGUGGAGGAACACCGAUGGCGAAGGCAGCCCCUGGGCUGAGCAUUGACGCUCAGGCACGAAAGCGUGGGAGCAAACAGG